rnacentral:rRNA from 1 species
CCCUUAGAUGUUCUGGGCCGCACGCGCGCUACACUGACGAAUGCAACGAGCUUAUAACCUUGGCCGAAAGGUCUGGGUAAUCUCCAAAUUUCGUCGUGAUGGGGAUAGAUUAUUGCAAUUAUUAAUCUUCAACGAGGAAUGCCUAGUAAGCGCAAGUCAUCAGCUUGCGUUGAUUACGUCCCUGCCCUUUGUACACACCGCCCGUCGCUCCUACCGAUUGAAUGGUCCGGUGAAGCGCUCGGACCUCGGCCUCUUGACGGUUCGCUGUCGAUUGGCUGUGGGAAGUUCGUUAAACCUUAUCAUUUAGAGGAAGGAGAAGUCGUAACA